CCACUGAGAUUCAGCCCU
rnacentral:snRNA from 1 species